rnacentral:lncRNA from 1 species
AAGUAAUAAGUGCAAUAGAAUGAAGAUAACAAGUCAAAGGCAAAAUUUUUUCUGUGUAUGUGUAAAAGACAUGGUGAAAGACAAUUAUUAAGGUAAAGUAAGGUAUGGUUUAACACCCACCGAUGGGUUGUUAUGAUGCCAUUUUAAAUAUACAUCAAUGAUGGACAAUUGUUAAAUUUAAAAAUGCAUCCGUUCAUAUUUAGUAUGACAGAAGAAUGACGAAUUGGAUGGAGGGAGUCAAAAGUGUUCGAAAUAGCAUGGCAUAGUUAUCAAAGUGAUGUCACAUAGUAUUCAAAAGUAUAGGAACAUUUGUUUUCCAUAUAGUUGGAAAACAGUAGCAUUUGUGAUUGUAAAUUCUUCAAAAAAAAAAAAAAAAGCAUGUGCAAAGAUAUGCUUUCUUACAACUGAAAGAUCCAGUCCUGUUCACACAAAACUGUUCAUAAAUGAUGGACUCUUUUUAAAGAUGAUCAUGAAAGUUUGAGGGAUGAUGGAUGUCUAGAUCAAGCAAAUGUUGUAAUCACUGUAUAGUUCAUAGCCACUAUAGAUGAACUUGUUAAGACUGAGCAUUGUGUAAGAUUUUGCAACAUCUCCAAGUCACAAUCAAAAACAAGUGACCAGAUUGUUGAGCAAUGAAGUAGUGCUUCUGCAUGACAAUGCCUGUUCAUAUGUAUCACAUGAAAUGAAGUCAUUGUUU